GAGUAAGAGAUGGUGGUAUAUAUUUUAUUUAUCACAAUUUUCUGUCUUUAAUGCCAAUGACCAAUGGCCUGCAUAUACUCACUUCUUUAUUUUUUUUACUGAAAAUUGCAACCAACUUUCUAUAGCUUGUUUAAAAAUAACAAUAUUUUGAAGAUAAUUUUGUUUCAAAUAACUAAAAGUGAGUGAUUGUAAUCUGAAUGAAGAGGAACGGCUGUUAUUGAACAUGGGGUGAGACAUUCUUACUCAUUUGUAAAUAAUGUUGCUAUUUAUUAUUAUUCUGUUUUUAGACGGAGUGAAACCAAAAGUCCACCGUGCCUAUUUUUGGAACAUCGUGAGUCCACAUGUCAAGUGAAAUUCCCCCGUUGUAUUGACCUCUCAACUCCAGGACCACCAACCGUUUUUGUUGUUGUUGUUGCCCGAUGCAGGAAUCUAGUGCCAGAUGAGAGACUCUCAGGCUGAAAACACCUCCAUUCAUUUACGAAUAGAUAGUACAUUUGUGCCACAGUUCAGACUACCAAUAGCGUUUUAACUCCCCCUUGUGUGUAGAGACAGAAUGCCACCAUCUACUACUAGCUGUCAAGGCAUAAGCUCCUAACGUUUAAAGGAAGAACCACUGUACAUGAUCAAAUACAAGUCUCAGAAUCAACUAUUAAAGACGACCAGAAUCCACUGGAUUCUCCAAUUACCUUGAAUGAACUACAGGACAAAAUAAAAACCCUCCAACCCAAAAAGGCCUGUGGUGUUGAUGGUAUCCUCAAUGAAAUUAUAAAAUAUACAGACCACAAAUUCCAAUUGACUGUACUUAAACUCUUUAACAUCAUCCUCAGCUCUGGCAUAUUCCCCGAUAUUUGGAACCAAGGACUGAUCACCCCAAUCCACAAAAGUGGAGACAAAUUUGACCCUAAUAACUACCGGGGGAUGGGCUUCAACAGCAACCUUAGGAAAGUCCUCUACAUUAUCAUUAACAGCAGACUCAUUUCCUCAGUAACGCUGAUCACUUGGAUCAGUGUAAACACUAAAUCAUUUAUAAAUAAUCCUGUUCUAAACGUUUACAGCCUGUAUCACAGCAAAGAACAGUGAAAUGGCUUCAGUAGGUUAAUAAACUUAUAGAAGCAGGUCUUAUUUCUGUAGAUAUAUUGAUGAUUUAAAAAGGCAUAUUUAACAGUUAGGAUAUUGAUAUUGUUAUAAAAUAAUAUUAUUUUUUAUUAGUGUUGCACCAUUGUUCUUACAGAAUAUAACCAUAUACAAUUUCAAUAACACUUGUUUGACUGGUGGACAGUGUCAUCCCCCACGGCCUCCACAAUGGAUCAGUCCACUCAGACAGGAACCAAUCAGACAGGUGUCUUAGACUGGUGGACAGUGUCAUCCCCCACGGCCUCCACAAUGGAUCAGUCCACUCAGACAGGAACCAAUCAGACAGGUGUCUUAGACUGGUGGACAGUGUCAUCCCCCACGGCCUCCACAAUGGAUCAGUCCACUCAGACAGGAACCAAUCAGACAGGUGUCUUAGACUGGUGGACAGUGUCAUCCCCCACGGCCUCCACAAUGGAUCAGUCCACUCAGACAGGAACCAAUCAGACAGGUGUCUUAGACUGGUGGACAGUGUCAUCCCCCACGGCCUCCACAAUGGAUCAGUCCACUCAGACAGGAACCAAUCAGACAGGUGUCUUAGACUGGUGGACAGUGUCAUCCCCCACGGCCUCCACAAUGGAUCAGUCCACUCAGACAGGAACCAAUCAGACAGGUGUCUUAGACUGGUGGACAGUGUCAUCCCCCACGGCCUCCACAAUGGAUCAGUCCACUCAGACAGGAACCAAUCAGACAGGUGUCUUAGACUGGUGGACAGUGUCAUCCCCCACGGCCUCCACAAUGGAUCAGUCCACUCAGACAGGAACCAAUCAGACAGGUGUCUUAGACUGGUGGACAGUGUCAUCCCCACGGCCUCCACAAUGGAUCAGUCCACUCAGACAGGACUAUUUUAUACACCUGUUUACAACGUGUGUCUGAAACUGUCCGAUCCACUAAUUUGAAGGGGUGUCCACAUACUUUUGUAUAUAUAGUGUACGUGUGACAGAGACUCUCUUCUCCAGCAAAGCUGUAUUUUUGGCUCAACAGGUCUUUGUCAUUGCCAAGGUCAGAACAUAGUCAAAUCUCCACAUUACGUAGUCUGUAUUUCCUAUUUGCCUCUAAAACAUUGAUUUCAAGACAAUGCUUGUACUACUAUUGCUGGUAUCUGUGGUUGUGCAUAUAUAUAUAUAUAAACCCAUAACAUAAGGACCUACAGUGAUGGCAUUUAAAACAGUUUGAUCUAUGUGGGACAGUCUGCUUUAG